AUUGAACGCUGGCGGCAUGCCUUACACAUGCAAGUCGAACGGUAGCGGGCCUUCGGGUGCCGACGAGUGGCGAACGGGUGAGUAAUGUAUCGGAACGUACCUUUCAGUGGGGGAUAACGUAGCGAAAGUUGCGCUAAUACCGCAUAUUCUGUGAGCAGGAAAGCAGGGGAUCGCAAGACCUUGCGCUGAUUGAGCGGCCGAUAUCAGAUUAGCUAGUUGGUGAGGUAAAGGCUCACCAAGGCGACGAUCUGUAGCGGGUCUGGGAGGAUGAUCCGCCACACUGGAACUGAGACACGGUCCAGACUCCCACGGGAGGCAGCAGUGGGGAAUUUUGGACAAUGGGGGCAACCCUGAUCCAGCCAUGCCGCGUGAGUGAAGAAGGCCUUCGGGUUGUAAAGCUCUUUCGGCCGGGAAGAAAUCGUAUCAGCUAAUACCUGGUGCGGAUGACGGUACCGGCAUAAGAAGCACCGGCUAACUACGUGCCAGCCGCCGCAGUAACAC
rnacentral:rRNA from 1 species